rnacentral:rRNA from 1 species
UGAGGAAUUUUCUGCAAUGGGCGCAAGCCUGACAGAGCAAUAUCGCGUGAGGGAAGAAGGCCUUUUGGUUGUAAACCUCUUUUUUUAAGGAAGAAGAACUGACGUUACUUAAAGAAUAAGCAUCGGCUAACUCUGUGCCAGCAGCCGCGGUAAUACAGAGGAUGCGAGUGUUAUCCGGAAUUAUUGGGCGUAAAGCGUUUGUAGGUGGAUUCUUAAGUCUUUUGUUAAAUCUCUAAGCUUAACUUAGAACAUGCAAAAGAGACUAUUUAUCUGGAGUAUAGUAGAGGAAAAGGGAAUUUUCAGUGGAGCGGUGAAAUGUGUUGAUAUUGAAAGGAACAUCGAAGGCGAAGGCACUUUUCUGGGCUAUUACUGACACUGAGAAACGAAAGCUAGGGGAGCAAACAGG